UACGGGGGGAGCAAGCGUUGUUCGGAAUCACCGGGCGUAAAGGGAGUCUAGGCGGUUUGGUAAGUGGGAUGUGAAAUCCCCGGGCUCACCCCGGGACCUGCAUCCCAAACUGCUGAGCUUGAGUACAGGAGAGGGUGGGGAAUUCCAGGUGUAGCGGUGAAAUGCGUAGAUAUCUGGAGGAACACCGGUGGCGAAGGCGCCCACCUGGCCUGCUACUGACGCUGAGGUGCGAAAGCGUGGGGAGCAAACAGG
rnacentral:rRNA from 1 species